rnacentral:tRNA from 10 species
AUUUUUCUAUUUUUAGUACAGAUGGGGUUUCACCAUGUUGGCCAGGCCGGUCUCAAAAUCCUGGCCUUAGGUAAUCUGCCUGCCUCAACCUCCCAAAGCGCUGGGAUUACAGGCAUGAGCCACUGCACCCAGCCCAUAAACAGUGCUUUUUAUUGGGUACUAGAAGCAUAUGAAUAGCAGAGCAUAAACCUAAAUUUGAUCUAAUGACCUUUGACAGUGUUAAAAGCUCUGGAACCUGGAGACAGGAAACCAGUUUUUCAUACUUUUUAUUUUGAAAUUAUUAUAGAUUCACAGGAAGUUGCAAAGAUAGUACAAAGUGGUCCCAAUUUUCUUUGCCAAAUUUCUCUCAAUUUUUUUUUCCAGACAGGUCCUUGCUCUGUUGCCCAGGCUGCUGUGCAGUGGCAUGACCAUAGUUCACUGCAACCUCAAACUCCUGAGCUUCAGCGAUCCUCCCACCUCAGCCUCCCAAGUAGUCCCAUAGUCCCAGCCCCUGAGCUGGGACUACAGGUAUGUGCCACCAUGCCUGGCUAAUUUUUUAUAGAGACGGGGUUUCACUAUAUUGCGCAGACUUGUCUUGAACUCCUGGGCUCAAGCAACCCUCCUGCUUCAGCCUCCGAAAGCACUGGGAUUACAGGCAGGAGGCACCUGACCUCCAAGGGUUACAGGGUUACAUCUCUUUUUUUUUUUUUUUUUUUUGAGAUGGAGUUUCAUUCUUGUCCCCGAGGCUAGAAUGCAGUGGUGUGAUCUCAGCUCACUGCAAACUCCGCCUCCUGGGUUUCAGCAAUUCUCUUGCUUCACCCUCUGGAGUAGCUGGCACAGGUGCGUGCCACCACUCCUGGCUAAUUUUUGUAUGUUUAGUAGAGACGGGGUCUCACUAUGUUGGCCAGGCUGGUCUCAAACUCCUGACCUCAGGUGAUCUGCCCACCUCAGCCUCCGAAAGUGCUGGGAUUACAGGGGUAAGCCACCGUGCCAGGCCCUCCAAGGGUUACAUCUUAUGUAAAGUAUCAAAGCCAGGAAACUGACGUGGGUAUAAUGUGUGUGCCUAAUUCUGUGUUGUUUUAUCACAUGCAAAUUUGUGUAACUACUACCUCUUCAAGUAAAAUGCAGAACUGCUCCCCCACCAAACAGAUCUCUCUGGUGAGACCUCUGUGUAGCCAUACCCACUCUCUCCCCAUCAACAACUAAUGUGUCUCCAUCGCUAUCAUUUUGAGGAGGCUGAGUUUUAAAUCAACUUCCGACCCUCUCAGCAGUGUGACCUUGGAUAAGUCAUUUGUCCUUUUCUGGAUGUUGAUCUUCUCAGCUAAAGUAAGACAAGGUUGGCUCACAUCAACAUUCCUCUUGAAUUUCCACAGGCUGAUAUGAUCUGAAAAUGCUACGGAGAUUAUGAGAAAGAAAAUGGGGUUUUAUGGUGAAAUAAACUAGGGAAAUGAUGCUUUCCAUAAAUACAUAAUGCUUCUUUACCGUGAAUUCUCAGCCCUUUAAUACACUAAGGUGAACUGUGAAUCUUCUAGUGUGGGAGGUAUACGCAGCAUUUUCCAAAUUUAUCUGAACACAGAAUGCUCCCCCCACCCUUAAAAAAAUCCUCUAGAAAAAAAAUCACUUGGAACUAGUUUUUCAGGGAAUAUGCUUAGAGAUAUGCUUUUUCAGGUGACCUCUGAGGUCCUCCUGCCUCAGGGAUCCCACCCAGAUUAAAUGCCUAGAAAUAUAUCCUCCCUCGUGGGUUAAAUUAUGUAUCUUCAGCCAAAACCUACGAGUGUGACCUUAUUUGAAAUAAGGGUCUUUUCAAGUGUAAUUAAGAUAAGGAUCUUGAGAUGAGAUCAUUCUAGUUUAGGGUGAAGUCCAAAUCCAACGAAGAGUGUUCUUAUCAGAGACAGAAAAGGGGGACACGCAUAGACACAGAAGAAAAUGAUAGGCUAGGCAUGAUGGCUUGCACCUGUAAUCCCAGUGCUUCGGGAGGCUGAGGCAGGAGGAUUGCUCAAGCCCAGGAGUUCCAGGCUGCAGUGAGCUAUAAUCACCCCACUGUACUCCAGCCUGGGUGACAGAGCGAGACCCUGUCUCUGAAAAAAGAAAGAAGGAAGGAAGGAAAGAAAAAGAAACAAAGAGAAAGAAAGACAAAGAAAGAAAAAAAGAAAGAAAGGAAGAAAAAAGAAAAGAGAGAGAGAAAGGGAGAGAGGAAGAAAGGGAAGGGAGGGAGGGGAAGGAAGGAAGGAAGUAAGGAAUGAAGGAAGGAAGGGAGGGAGGGAGGGAAUGCUCUGUGCUGUAGAGGCAGAGUCUGGAGGGCAGCCAUAAGCUAAGGGCCACAGCCGCCAGAAGAUAGGCAAGGGCAACCUUAGCCAUGCUUGGAUUUCAGACUUCUGGCCUCCAGAACUGAGAGAUAAUAAAUUUCUGCUCUUUUAAGCCACCCACUCUGUGGUUCUUUGCUACAGCAGCCUGAGGAAACACAUAACCCUCUUUUCAGACUCUUGGGGUAUUUCAUUUUUAUUUAUUUUUUGUAGAGAUGGGGUUUCACUUUGUUGCCCAGGCUAGUCUCGAACUUCUGGGCUCAAGCUACCCUCCCGCCUAGACCUCCCAAAGUGCUGGGAUUACAGGCCUGAGCCACCGUGCCCCGACAAGGGGUUUUUAUUUUUUAAAAGAGCAGUGGCUGUUCACAAGUGCAGUCAUGGUGUACUGCAACCUUGAACUCCUGGGCUCACUUGAUCCUCCCGCUUCAUCCUGCGGAGCAGCUGGGACUACAGGUACAUGCCACCGAACCCUGCAGAAUCUUAGGGGGUUUUGAAGGAAGGAAGGGUCUCGUUUAAGUUUCUCCAGCCCCCAAGCUCCUUCCCUCCUCAGGCCUUUGCAUAUGCUGACCCCUCUGGGAACCUGAAUGGUGAAAAUACAGCAGCCCUGUGAAGACUGGGAGGAGGGCAUUGGGAGGGAGGGAAGUUCCAAGCAGAAAAGCCACCAAAGGCCCUGGGCCAGGCCAAGAUUUGGGAUAGUCAAGUCCCAGAGAGAAGGCAACUGUGGCUGCCACGCAGUGAGAAGGGAGGAGAAGUAGGAGAAGACGCUUGAGGGCAAGGGAGGGGCCACACACUGCCUAAGUCCUGCCAGCUACGGUCAGGGGUUUGAAGUUUAUUCCAAUGGGCAACUUUAAAAAAAAUUUUUUUUUGAAUAGGGUCUCGCUCUGUCACCCAGGCUGGAGUACAGUGGUGCGAUCACAGCUCACUGCAGCUUCAACCUCUUGAUCUCUUAAGCAAUCGUCCCACCUCAGUCUCCCCCUGCCCCACCUCCGCACUACCCCGCCCUGCCAUCGGAUAGCUGGGACCACAGACUCACACCACCAUGAGUGAAGCCAAAAAAUACAAACAUACUUUUUGUAUUUUUUUGUAGAGACAGAGGUCUCUCUAUGUUGCCCAGGCUGGUCUCGAACUCCUGGGCUCAAUCGAUCUUCCCUCCCACCUUGGCCUCCCAAAGUGCUGGUAUUACAGGAGUGAGACAUGGCGCCCAGCCCAUUGGAGGAUUUUUUUUUUGAGACGGAGUCUCGCUGUGUCACCCAGGCUGGAGUGCAGUGGCACGAUCUCAGCUCACUGCAACCUCUGCCUCAUUGGAGGAUUUUAAGCACGGGAAUAACAAGUCUUGUUUGCGCUUUAGAAAGAUCUCCCUAAGUGCAGUGUGUGGGAUAAACUGCAGGGGGUGAGAUGGAGACAAGCCUGGAGGCAGAAAUCAGGUAGUUCAUUAGGAUAGGCUGGGCUAGGGAUGAAGGUGGCUUGGUCGAGGGCUGUAACCGUGAAAUGGGAAUAAGUGGGCCUAGGUCUAUUUUGCAGGCAGCGCUGUCAGGAUGAUGGAGUGAGGGAAAAAGAAAUCACAAUAAUUUCUUAGUGUUUUAGCCUACACAGCUGGGCGAAUGGGGAGCGACAUCUAUUUAUGAUAGGAGACCUUGGGAAGGACUGGAUUUGAGGGGGUGGUGGAGGGAAAUUCGAGCCUGCUUUUGGCUGGGAGAUGCUCAUUAGGCAUCCAAGAGGAGGCGUGAGGUAGUUAAAUAUGUGAAUCUGAGUCCCAGGGAGAAGUCUCGGCGGGAGAUUAAGUCUUGAGAUUCAUCAGACCAGAGAUGGUCUGUGAAGCCGCAGAUCAGGAUGACAGCCACUAUGGGAAUGAACAAAGAUGAAGACCGGAGACCCCAAGACAGACCUCCGGGGCAGCCAUCACUGAGAGAGGGCGGAGGAGGAGGGGGAAGUGAAGGCUCCUGAGGAGAAGGCCAUGUGGAGGAGGGAAACCAGGGGAAGGUGGAGUCGGAGACAUUGGAAGAACAGGUAAGGAGGCCAUGGCCAAGCGUGUCAAAUGCCACUGAGAGAUAGGCAGGGGAAGGGACCUUUGGCCUUGGUGACAUGUAGGUCACUGAUGAUCUGGACUAGAGUCAUCUCCUGUAACGGUGGGGACAAACGGCUGCUUGGAGCAGCACAGAAUGAAAGUGGGGAGGGGGGAGGUGGAACAGCAGAUGCCAGAAGGGCUGGGGGCCUCCAGGGAGAGUUUCUAAAGGAGGAAGGGUGGGCAUGUUAUAAGCGGAUGAUAAUGAUCCGGGAAGGGGAGAAAGGCUCUGCAGAGACAACUGCAGGGCCAGGCCCUAAGGAGCAGGAGGGCUGGGGCCCAGUGCAGGCUGGAGGAGCACGAUGCAGCUUCCACUGUGCUCUGGCGGGGGAAGGGGGCACGCGUGGAUACUGGGUGGCAAGUGUGGGGCAUGGAGGUGAGGUGUGCUGGUGUGGGUGCAUCCUUUCUUUCUCUGAAGCGUGUGGUGGCAUUGCCAGCUGAAAUUGAGGUUGGGGGUGUGGGAGAUUUGAAAUGAGUCAUUUCAAGAGCGGGGAAGUGAAGCUGUGAAAGCACAUUGGAGGAACCGAGGGCCUGCGCGAAACGUGUGGUUUUGAUUUGGAAAUGAGUCUAGUCACACAGGGGUGCUGGUUCUUGAGCCAUAGUUGGAUCCAACUGGAGUUUGGAGUUUGGAGUUUCUCUGGGUGAGCACAGUGAAUGGGGAAAAGGGGUAAAGGAUGCAGGGUAGUGACUGUAAGGAUGGUUUAAGGACAUGGUGAUGGCGCUGCCAACAGGCAAAGACUGCUGGUUCAGAGGGCUGGGUGGGCUCAGAGAAUUGCUGGCAUGGUGUGGUGGUGACAUAGGACCUACCUGAGCUGGAAGUACAGGAGGUGAUGUUCAGAGUGGGAGGCUUGAGGUGAUCAGAGCUGACAAGAUAAGGUAUGUCCACUUGAGACUGUGGCCAAGGUAGAGUGGAGGAAAGCCUGUUGGUGUUAAGGAGCUUCUCUGAAUAUUCUUACUUGGCCCUUCCCAACUUUGUUUUUUGUUUGUUUGUUUAUUUGUUUUGAGACGGAGUCUCGCUCUGUCACCCAGGCUGGAGUACAGUGGCGUGAUCUCAGCUCACUGCAACCUCCGCCACCCAGGUUCAAGCGAUUCUCGUGCCUUACCCUCCCAAGUAGCUGGGAUUACAGGUGCCCACCACCACGCCCAGCUAAUUUUUGUGCUUUUAGUAGACAGGAUUUCACCAUGUUGGCCAGGCUGGUCUCGAAUUCCUGACCUCAAGUGAUUUACCCACCUCAGCCUCUCAAAGUGCUGGGAUUACAGGCAUGAGCUACCGUGUUGGGCCCCUUCCCAACUUUGGAUUCAGAGCUACGUCCUACCAGAGCCAGAAGGGGCCACGCUCUUCACUGUACAGAUGGGCACACCAACGCCUGGAGAUGUUGGAUGCAGAAGGCGAAAUGUCAGAAGCUGGAGUCCUGCAUCUCAGCUGGAAGGUGAGAAGUCCUGCAUAGGUCUGAGAUGUGGGCUUCAUGUAUGUCUGGCAGGCAUCCAGGCUUUCCCAUCAUGUGUCUGUCCCCUGGGUCACAUCCAUGUCAGGUGGGUACCACAGUCUAAAGUCCUUGUAUUCUCUUCCACAUACCAGGGCUGAUAAUUUAUCAGUUGCCAUUGAUCAAAGUUCACAAGGCAAAUCUUCAUAAACUUCUAAAGCUGCCUACAGUUUCCCGUAAACAAAUCUCUAAAUUUACAAAAGCAAUGCUUGCUGAUUGUAAAAAACACACAGUGCCAAAGCAUACAAAGGAAGAAGACCCGCUUGCAAUUUGCUACCUACAUCCCACUCUUGGGGCCAACAACUAUUGGAAGUGUGGUGAGUGAUUGACUUACAUCCUUCUAGAUCUUAUCUACAUAUUUGCAAAGAAAAAAUAUACAUAUAUAAAAUAAAAUAUGUGUGGGUUAUAUCCUUACAAACUGAGAUCAUAGGCAGUUCCGCAACUUGCCUUUUCUCUGUAACAAUAAGUGAUGGAUGCUUUGCAGGGUUGGUGCUACAGAUCCUAUUUAUUCUUUUAAAAGGCUGCAUAGGGAGCUCUGGUGGCACAAUGAAUUAGUG